CACGUAGGGCGCAAGCGUUGUCCGGAAUUAUUGGGCGUAAAGAGCUCGUAGGCGGUCUGUUGCGUCCGCUGUGAAAACCCGGGGCUUAACCCUGGGCUGGCAGUGGAUACGGACAGACUAGAGGUAGGUAGGGGAGAAUGGAAUUCCCGGUGUAGCGGUGAAAUGCGCAGAUAUCGGGAGGAACACCGGUGGCGAAGGCGGUUCUCUGGGCCGUACCUGACGCUGAGGAGCGAAAGCGUGGGGAGCGAACAGG
rnacentral:rRNA from 1 species